UGUUUUUUCCAUUCUAGUCAAAGCGAGACUAAUGUACACUGGAUGGUGGCACACAAAUCUUUAAGACUCUUGAGGGGACAGAGUUGACCAGAGAGAUGACUGUGAUGAUUAGCAGGAAGGUGAUUCCAGGAGAUUACAGUGCAAUGCUUCACAAGAACGCAACGGAGCUCAACUGAUCAAAUUGAAAAAAAUCAAAUCUCCGGCUAUGCUGGAAGACCAAUCACCAAAUCCAGGUUAUUUUGCAGAGAGAAAGCUAUUACAAGGAGAUCAGGAAGAAGAUUCCUGUUACACCAGUUUCAGCAGAACUCCCCAUCAACAAUAUCGAUCAUCCUCAUCGUCUGAUCAGUUUCAUCAUCCUCCACCAUCUUCCAAAUGAUGUCUCAUCUCCCUGGCCUGCCUUCAGCUAGAAUCCCCAUUGACCCUGAUGUUCCUUUUAGUAAUUCUCCAACUACUGCCCUUGCCUUGCUCUUUGUCUAGAAAUGGUCACACGCAUAGGCUUGGGUUCCACCUCUCUCUCCCACUGCAACACCUCAUAGGACUCCACACCUAUAGUGAUGGCCUCCUCCUGAUUACAGUCUUCUUCACCUCAUUUAACAUCAUGGAUUAUAUUCUGAAGCAGUAAAAAGCAAUUCAAUUAGUCAUUUAUGAGCCAAAGAGUGGGCAUUUGCAUGGUUUCUGUGUUAUGAUCUUUUCAUAAAGAAAGAAUGGGGAAUGUAUGGAUGUUGUCCAUGUCCUAUAGGAAAAGGGAGGGUUUUAUUGCAAGUUUGGGAUUCCUUUAAACUUCCUUGUUUUCUAGGAGCAGAAGCAGAGGAGUCACAUAAAUUCAACUUGUCAUGGAAUAGCUCCUUCUCUAACAACAAGCCUUGAGAUAAGAAAGCAAUAGUCAUUGUACAAAUAAGUUAAUUUUGUUGGGGUUUAUGUAAAUCUAUGGAAGGUCUCUAUAAAGCCUAAAAUACAAAAGUUAAUUAUAGUCCUGAUAUAAACUAAAUAUCAAUUAGUGAUUGUCAUUGACUGGAAACAGUAUUAACCAUAUUGAAUAUAUUAUUAUCUAACUUUUUUGUCACAAUUUUACAAAGACAGUAUUAAUAUAUCCAUUUUACAGAAUAAAAUACAGAAGCAAAAAGAAGCCAUAAGGCAGAUGCCUAAAGCCACAGUUUAAACAUCAGACUAAAUUCUUAUUGUUGAAAAGGUGCCUUUUUUGGCUCUGAAAUAUAAGAAAAAACAAAGUGUUUUUUCCACUCUGACUCACCAUUUAAAAUAACACUUCCGACAUCUGAUGUGGAAAAGUACUUCCCCAGUUCCCAAUAAUUUUCUAGAAAAUGCCUGCUGGGAGUCCUAUUGCUAUAGCUAUAGAGACAGAUACGUAUCCAAGAAAGAGGUGGAGGAAAUACCAUUCCUGCUAGGGUUGCCGCUCAAACUCAUCCCAUGAAUGGCAACUUGAAAUUGCUAUUAUAGCAAAGCUGCUGCCCAGAAAUAGCACCAGCCAAAAAUAUCAACAUGGCUAUUUACUGUGUCGCACUGACAACUUAUAGCCUAUUAUAAUUCCAUUAUAAUAAAAUUACCACGGCUGACACUCCCACUCCCAUUGUGCUCCUGAUGCCAUGAAAAUUCCGACUUCUUAUAAAGGCCAGAAAAUGUCCAGUCACCAAAUUCCUGGAAAUGUUUGUCCAUUCCUGAAAGGGUUUACUCCCUCCUAAGUGUGUACUUUCACUUUGCUAGUAAAUCUAAUUCCUCUGCUAAGCUUUGUGUAUGUCUUGUCCUUGAGUUCUUUCAUAUGUCAGAGAUAAGAACAUGAACCUCUUAAAUUCUGAACAUUAUAACACCUCUUUUUUAAAUUUAUAUAAGUUGAACAAAUUUCAUGUAGUUCAUAGUGAUAUGAAAUACAUAGUGAUAAUUCCACUCUAUAACUCCUCUUAAUUCCAACACUCUAAGACAGAGUCAGAUCCCAAAGGUUGAAGGUUCAGUUCCACAAGACCGCUCCCUCCCCAUUUCAGAUGCCAGUCAUAAGUAAUAGAUCAUCAGCUAUACUCUGACCAACCAGCUACAUCAGGGGUCUUUCUGCCUUCCCCUUGAGUUCAAUUCAUUUUCUGUCAGUCACAGAGAUCAGGGAAACACUUUGCUUACAUGUAGCAGCUGAAUGAUAGGGAAGGUAAGAAAGAAUAAAAAAGCCAGAUAAGCUACACAAUGUGAGGUCUAGAAAAGUCCUAAGCACAGAAAUUUCUGUCCUUGUGAAGUUGAGAUGACCAUUGUCCCAGCACAAGGAUAUGUUUGACAAUUGGGAAGCUCUCUGAACCCUUAAAUUUGGAGAACUUUAUGGAGGUUUUAUUUAUUUCCAGUGUCUCUUCCCUCUCUGGAGAAUAGGAGAGGGAGAACUGAAUGACCUACUCUUAUAAUCAUGUUUAUCUCGUUCUGGUGACCAGACCUUAGUCAAGAGCCCACUGUGAGUUAUUUCAUUAGGGAAAAAAAGGUGUCCAGUAAAUUCCAAAGGAUUUAGGAACUCUGAGUCAAGAACUGGGGUCAAAGGCCAAAUAUUACAGCAAAGUAAUUUUCCUAGUGCCCCCAUCUAGUAGGGUAUUAGGAAUUGUGACUCAGGAGAUUGGGCCAGAAUAAAAUAUUGGGAUCAAAGAUUCUUCUAGCACCCCUAUCACUCAGAAAACUACAAAGGUGUUAGGUGAUCUGUGCUCAGGGCUGGAACCAGAGACCAAGAUAUAUGUAUUUCCUAUUACUAUCUCACACUGGCAGUCAAGCUACGUCAAACAUUACAUUGACCUGUUAGUGAAACUGAACCCCUAUACAUGGCCUUGAAUGCAAAUGUUGGAUACCACCAGGCCCCUGCCUCUCAGCCUCUCUCCCUUAGUGUAAGGUGUCUUUGUCCUGUGUUGUGUGUGCAUGUGUGUGUUGUUGUUGUUGUUGUUUUAACCUUUUUUUAAUUGCAAGUUGGCCUCUUACUAAAUUUAACUUACUGAAUUGAGGGAGUACUGCAGCCAUCACUGGACUCAUGUGGUCAUUUUUUUCUCCAAUAAUUACCAACUUGAUGGCUGGUAUGGUCUCAAAGGGUAUCUUCUCAGGGAAAUUCCAGGCCCAUGGCAGGAAGUAAUUACCAUCUGCAUGUUGUCCUCGGAAUGGCUAAAGCCAAACACUGCAGACCAACCAGAAACUUAGGUAUGAGCUGAACAUCCAUUCUCAAGACCCAACUUAAAUCUAUAAGAAGCUUUGUCCCUAUCCCCUCCAGGAGCCUGCAACUUGAGCUACAGCAGCCUAGCUCCUAGUUCUGAACAUUGCAAUAAGUACCUCCUUUCUCCCAGCAUCUCAAUGCCAGUGAUUUGGCUUUCUGCAUGUGGGGCAGACAUCUCCAGUCUGGGGGUUCUACAGCAACUCCUCCAACCACUUAUCGAGACAGUUCCUUACUAUUACCAAUUCCUUGGCCAAGUUGAGGCAUGUGGCACACUCACAUGCUUUGUGAUCAAUUUAGCAGGAAGAACUGAGACUCUGACUAUAUUUCAUAUAGAGAAGGUUAAAAAUGUUUUCCUCUACUUCAGUGGUUAUGGCUUACAAAUCACAUGUAAUAUGAGACAGAUAAUAAGAAAAAUGAGUUUUAGGUAUAUAUGCACACACAAGAGUUCACAAAGAAUGUCCUUCAAGGCGGUGGCCACGUGA